rnacentral:rRNA from 1 species
UACGGAGGGUGCAAGCGUUAAUCGGAAUUACUGGGCGUAAAGCGUGCGCAGGCGGUUUGUUAAGUCCGUUGUGAAAGCCCCCGGCUCAACUGGGGAGGGUCACGCGAUACUGCUCGACUCGAAGGCAGGAGAGGGAAGUGGAAUUCCCGGUGUAGUGGUGAAAUGCGUAGAUAUCGGGAGGAACACCAGUGGCGAAGGCGACUUCCUGGCCUGUUCUUGACGCUGAGGCGCGAAAGCUAGGGUAGCAAACGGG